UCUUUCUUCUCUUUCUUUCUUUCUUCGGUUUCUUUCCUCCCGUUUCUUCACAAUACGCCUGAGCCGAACUCUUGAUCUUGAUCACAGAGGGAAUGGAAGGAAGGAGAGGACACCGGCCCUAGACCGUACUCCAAACCACCAGAGGGAAUGGAAGGGAGGAGAAAGGACUCCCUCUCUCUCUUCUUCUUCUUCAUAGAAGCAAAUCUCCCCUUCUGUCUGACAAUUUUCUUCUCAAGAAAAUUCUCAUCCUCACAUCUUCAA
rnacentral:lncRNA from 1 species